CGCCGUCAGAAAUCCAAGCUUCGACGCAGAGGGACUGGGACUCGGGAGCCGCAGAGUGCGUGCGACUUUUCUGUUACUGAGCAUGCGCAGUAGAAAUUGCGGCGGUCACCGCCCUCAGAUCGAAACAGGGUAGAUCCAGGAGGCAGCCCCUGAGGCUCUCUGGCCCUUCAGAGUUCAAACAGUCAAAAAGAUGGAAAAUUUUCCCGUGGCUUUAUUUUAUUUCCUUCAUUCAGUUUCCAAGCCCACAGGCUGAGCUUCCUUGCAGAAUCACAAUCCUCAGUUUGUAAUAUCAGUCCUCUCCACACAACCCAAUUAUGAUACCACAAAUUAAGGAAGACAUCAGAUGGAGAAUCAGUUGCAAGAUCAGAAGAACUCUUAAUGGUGACACCCCCAGACAGAUUGACAUCAGCACUGCCUAGCCUGUUUGAUGGCCUAUCAUGGUCAUCAGCUGUAUAAAGAACCCACUGAAAGGAGCCAGGGGCUACACCUUAUGAGUCAGCAGGACAAGUAGGGACAUGCCAUGUGCUGUGAAGCUUGUGUUUGGGACACAGGAAGUACAAGCCAGAUGGCAAAAGGAAUAUAAAGGACAGCUGCAUCAUCUCCAUUUUGUAUUUAUUUCUGCUUCUUACCUCUGGAGUAACUU